rnacentral:rRNA from 1 species
AUUGAACGCUGGCGGCAUGCCUUACACAUGCAAGUCGAACGGCAGCACGGGGGCAACCCUGGUGGCGAGUGGCGAACGGGUGAGUAACAUAUCGGAACAUACCCUAGAGUGGGGGAUAACGUAGCGAAAGUUACGCUAAUACCGCAUACGAUCUAAGGAUGAAAGUGGGGGAUCUUCGGACCUCAUGCUCAUGGAGUGGCCGAUAUCUGAUUAGCUAGUUGGUGAGGUAAAGGCUCACCAAGGCGACGAUCAGUAGCUGGUUUGAGAGAACGACCAGCCACACUGGAACUGAGACACGGUCCAGACUCCUACGGGAGGCAGCAGUGGGGAAUUUUGGACAAUGGGGGGCAACCCUGAUCCAGCAAUGCCGCGUGAGUGAAGAAGGCCU